UAUUUUAAGAAGUUUUAACACAUUUAACAAGAUUAGUGGAUGGGAGGAGAAAGUAGGAGGGAAAAAAUUUGGAACUGAAAAUAAAAAUGAAUUAAAAAUUAAAAUUGAAUAAGAAUUAAUGAGUUAUAAAACAAUUUGAGGACUACUUUUUUUUUCCUUUAGAGAUUCAUCUUCAAAGUCCACUGGAUUCUAAAAAUCUCAAAGCAAAUGGGAAAGUGUCCCACUGGUUUAGAAAUGGAAUUGGAAGCCUGCAGGAGAAAGCAAGGAUUUUUAUUGUAGGAAUAUCAAGGUGGAGGAGGAUUAAUGACCCACAAAUAGAAGAGAUAAAGAUCAGUGUUUCUUUUGCAUAGAAAGAAUAUUUGGUGCUAUUGGAGCACCCCCUGGAAAAGUUGCUAAUGGGACCUGAGGGCAGGGGGUGAAUAAUUCCUCCUCUGCUUGGUAUUGAGCUCUUCUCCCCAUGUUGGAUUUUCUAUAAAAUGAUUCACUAAGAGUGUGGGUUAUAUUAUUCAAUUGUAUGUUAGCAGCAGAACAAGAGUUUUGGGGGAACAAUGGAAGGAUAGGGUAGAAAGGAUUGGAAAAUUGGAGGAUAAAGCUAUUAUAAACCAUAAUGAGGGACUCCAAAGCCAUGGUCAAGGAAAAGAGUUUUCUUUUUGGUAUUUUUUUGUUUUAUAAUCACUGGGACUCUUGAGUAGUCAUUGGGCAAGAUGUUGCCAUGUGCUUCACAUUGGCAAAGACGAAUCUAAUUCAUUCAAUUACUGACCAAGAGGUAGAACAGCAGAAAUGAUG
rnacentral:lncRNA from 1 species